rnacentral:rRNA from 1 species
AAUUGACCUCGGAUCAGGUAGGGAUACCCGCUGAACUUAAGCAUAUCAAUAAG